rnacentral:rRNA from 1 species
CCUACGGGCGGCAGCAGUGAGGAAUAUUGGUCAAUGGACGAGAGUCUGAACCAGCCAAGUAGCGUGAAGGAUGACUGCCCUAUGGGUUGUAAACUUCUUUUAUAUGGGAAUAAAAUGUUCCACGUGUGGGAUUUUGUAUGUACCAUAUGAAUAAGGAUCGGCUAACUCCGUGCCAGCAGCCGCGGUAAUACGGAGGAUCCGAGCGUUAUCCGGAUUGAUUGGGUUUAAAGGGAGCGUAGAUGGGUUGUUAAGUCAGUUGUGAAAGUUUGCGGCUCAACCGUAAAAUUGCAAUUGAUACUGGCAGACUUGAGUACAGUUGAGGUAGGCGGAAUUCGUGGUGUAGCGGUGAAAUGCUUAGAUAUCACGAAGAACCCCGAUUGCGAAGGCAGCUUACUAAACUGUGACUGACAUUGAUGCUCGAAAGUGUGGGUAUCAAACAGGAUUAGAUACCCUUGUAGUC